rnacentral:rRNA from 1 species
UUCCUACGGGCGGCAGCAGUGGGGAAUAUUGCACAAUGGGCGAAAGCCUGAUGCAGCAACGCCGCGUGAGCGAUGAAGGCCUUUGGGUCGUAAAGCUCUGUCCUUGGGGAAGAAAAAAAUGACGGUACCCUUGGAGGAAGCCCCGGCUAACUACGUGCCAGCAGCCGCGGUAAUACGUAGGGGGCAAGCGUUAUCCGGAAUUAUUGGGCGUAAAGAGUGCGUAGGUGGUUUUGUAAGCGCGGGGUGAAAGGCAAUGGCUCAACUAUUGUAAGCCCUGCGAACUGUGAGACUUGAGUGCAGGAGAGGAAAGCGGAAUUCCUAGUGUAGCGGUGAAAUGCGUAGAUAUUAGGAGGAACACCAGUGGCGAAGGCGGCUUUCUGGACUGUAACUGACACUGAGGCACGAAAGCGUGGGGAGCAAACAGGAUUAGAUACCCGUGUAGUCCA